UGCCAGCAGCCGCGGUAAUACGUAGGUGGCGAGCGUUAUUCGGAUUUAUUGGGCGUAAAGGGUCCGCAGGGGGUUGUACGUGUCUGAUGUGAAAUCUCAAGGCUCAACUUUGAAACUGCAUUGGAAACUGUACAACUAGAGUAUCGGAGAGGUAAGCAGAAUUCCUGGUGUAGCGGUGGAAUGCGUAGAUAUCAGGAGGAAUACCAACGGCGAAGGCAGCUUACUGGACGAUUACUGACCCUCAUGGACGAAAGCUGGGGGAGCGAACAGGAUUAGAUA
rnacentral:rRNA from 1 species